rnacentral:rRNA from 1 species
UACGAAGGGGGCUAGCGUUGUUCGGAUUUACUGGGCGUAAAGCGCACGUAGGCGGCGCAGCAAGUCAGGGGUGAAAUCCCGGAAGCGUCAACUCCGGAACUGCCUUUGAAACUGCGAGUGCUAGAAUUCUGGAGAGGCGAGUGGAAUUCCGAGUGUAGAGGUGAAAUUCGUAGAUAUUCGGAAGAACACCAGUGGCGAAGGCGACUCGCUGGACAGACGAUUGAACGCUGAGGUGGCGAAAGCG